rnacentral:sRNA from 1 species
GCUAGGCAUGGUGGUGCAUGCCUGUAAUCCCAGCAACUCAGGAGGCUAAGGCAGGAGAAUCGCAGGUUCAAAGCUAGCCUCAACAAUUAUGUGAGGCCCUGAACAACUAUGCGAGGCCCUGAGCAACUAAGUGAGAACUUGUCUUAA